UGCCAGACUCCUACGGGAGGCAGCAGUGGGGAAUAUUGCACAAUGGGGGGAACCCUGAUGCAGCGACGCCGCGUGGGUGAAGGAGUAUUUCGGUAUGUAAAGCCCUAUCAGCAGGGAAGAAAAUGACGGUACCUGAGUAAGAAGCCCCGGCUAACUACGUGCCAGCAGCCGCGAUAAUACGUAGGGGGCAAGCGUUAUCCGGAUUUACUGGGUGUAAAGGGAGCGUAGACGGCAGUGCAAGUCUGGAGUGAAAGGCGGGGGCUCAACCCCCGGACUGCUCUGGAAACUAUACGGCUGGAGUGCAGGAGAGGUAAGUGGAAUUCCUAGUGUAGCGGUGAAAUGCGUAGAUAUUAGGAGGAACACCAGUGGCGAAGGCGGCUUACUGGACUGUAACUGACGUUGAGGCUCGAAAGCGUGGGGAGCAAACAGGAUUAGAUACCCCUGUAUA
rnacentral:rRNA from 1 species